AUCUGCUUCCUCUUACGCCCCCUCGCCUGCCGCGGACCUGACAAACGCUGCUCCGGAAACUCAGUUCACCCAGGACCAAGACUUGCGGUACACCCUGGGAGGAGCCGCCGGCCCUUCCUGAACCGUUGCGCUGAUCUUUUUGUAAAAGUGAAUGUUAAAGGAACUGUUCUUGAAUGCGAAUGGAUGAUGUUCAUCCCUCCCAGAGAUGUACAGCAUUAUUUGGAGGCCGUCUUUUCCCGCUUCUCCACGACGGUCAGUGAGCUUUAGCCAUGUGCGAUUUCUUUGAGGGCUGCGUAAAUGUCUUAAAUCAAGCUACUUUCUUUCGUGCUGAUAUGUGUAAAGCAAGAGACUCGAUCCAGCUUGUGCUACUUCAUGCUUUCUGAUUCAAUACAAAGGCACGAGGAGAACUUGAAGUCAUUUGCAGUACUUGAGUGAGGCCUUUGUUUUCAAAGAUUU